AACAUCGCGCACCUGCGGGAACCUGCGGAAGGAUCAUUAAUGAUUGGUGGCUGUUGCUGACUAGUGUUUCUAGUAUGUGCACGCCACACCUUCAAUCCCACUUACACCUGUGCACCUUCCGUAAUAGAUCUAUGUGGAUACGGAGAUAUGAAAGUUUGCGCUCUCGUACUCUGUUGAAGCAGUCUACUACGUUUUUUUACACACACACAAUAGUCAUUGAAUGUAUUUUUUAUUCUUAUG
rnacentral:misc_RNA from 1 species